ACACCACUAAGUCCUUCUGAUUUGCGUAGCAUGGUUCGGGAAUUACCCGAUCUCAAAAGAGAUGACCCGAACAUGGCGUUUUGGGAGAAAAUAGCACAGUACAUGACGGUGGGGGGAUUACAUGCUUUCGACGUUUAUGUGUUAACAAAGGCAAAAUGUCCAAGUGCUGUAUGGAGCGAGUUAGGGGAAUUUAAUAACUCUGCAUGGGCAUCUGUCCGCUUCACAUCCACGCUUGAGAUGGAAGAAGCAGUGGAAAAGUUCAGGAAGACCGUUUAUAAAGCUCUAGGUACAGGUUCCAAUCUGUAUUCAUUAUAUCUUACCCGCCAACAACGCGAAGAUGAACCUUUUGAUAGGUAUAUUGACGAGAAAUACAGUUUGUACUCCACAUAUGGUAAUGCAGGUGACAAUCCAAGUAAAGAUAACCCCGAUUUCCUGAUGAAUGUACUCGAGGGAAGUGUAGCUUUAUACCGAGACACAGCGGGUAAGGCUGGUUUUCGACCGAAGGAUUGUAGCGACUUAAUUUCGUGGGCUGCAUGUUUAAAUAAAUACCAUAGUGGUGUAAACAAGGGGGGCGCAAGAUCAGGUCUGAGGUCACAUUCUCACAAUAAAGCACCCCUCCACAUGGCUCCGGUACAGGAGAUAGCUCCUUGCAGCAACUGUGGGAGAUCAGGGCAUAGCCAGGCGGACUGUCACAGAGGGAGAAGGACCCAAUGUAAGAUCUGUCACAAAUAUGGACACGUUGCCCAGGCAUGCAGAUCUGGGAAUAACCAGUCAGAACGAGGUAGCCAGCUCCAAGACAUGUCAAAAGACGAACUCGUUAGAUUAAUUAAAUCGCUUGAAACCUCAGAAUAGGAUACGUCGGCCCCCAUUGCAUCAGGUGUUGAGGUUUCGUUCUAAUAGCAUAAGGACGUGGACACCAUAAGUCCCUAAAUAUUCUUAAUUUAUGAGCCCAAGAUAAGGGAGUAACAGUAAAUAAAUAAAUAAAUAAAUAAGGGUUAUGAGCCCAAGAUAAGGGAGUAACAGUAAAUAAAUAAAUAAAUAAAUAAGGUAGCACACAUAUGAUUGACCCCUAGUGGCACAUCCUAACACCAUCCUUUCCACAGUUUCUCAUGUAAAAUACACGCUGAGCAAUGUUGGCUUCAAGCUGACACUGAGGAUGAGACUGGGUGACGCAGCCACCAGCCGUGCUCCUCUCCGUGAAAGCGGGACUGAGUAAUUAACACUGAGUAAUUAACAUUUGCUUUCACCCUUUGAAAUUCCUACAGGUUGACCCAUGAGGACUCCUGGUGGUUAGUGUAUUGGUGGGAAAUUGCACGUAAUGGGUGACCGUUUAGGUAAAUAUUGCAGGCUUUUGUCCUAAGUGUGUUUCACAGGAUCACAGAACUGGACUUGACCCGGCUGAGGACAAAGAAAUGCCUGGUUGAACCUGGAGACAAGGUCCUGGUGAAAAACAUAAUCGGCAAAAUUUGGUCUGGACCACACAGGCUCACAAUUCCAUCAGCUGUUUCCAGUGACUGGAACUCCGGUGUGGUUCCAUUACAUUACAUUACAUUACAGGCAUUUCCGCAUUCAAUAGUUAAGGAAAUACAAGGGUGAGACCCAACAUGGGGCACAAUAAUCCCCGUCUACCCUUAUAGCCCCUGGGGGCUAUCUCUCUUUCCGUGUCUCCAAUCAGACACGUUUCCAGGACAAGAAUGUGCACCAACCUUGCAAGCUGCAGUUGGAUUUGGGAUGACUUCACAGCGACAUCUUCAUCAUUAUGUUGUCAUGUUGGAUAUUUUUGUCAUUGUAUUGUAAUGUUGUAUAUAGUCUGAGAGUGUGGGUUGAUACAGGAAUAGGUUGGGAGGAGGCAAUUAAAAUAUUGGAAAAGUUUUAUAUUAAUUAGGAUAAAAAGGUUGCAGGACUGGAGGAAGAUGGUUGUCCCACUCGGAAGGCCAUAUACGGAUAUGCCCUUCAGCUAAGAGGUGAGGCACAUGCAGCCCUCCAGAGAAGCCUGGCACAUGCCCUAAAUUGUAUAAAGCCUGGCACAUGCCCUAAAUUGUAUAGUGGACCUAAAAUUUUGAAUUGCUCUGAAAGAGAGCCUCUGCCUGCCCGAGUGACUGUAUCCAUCAGACACUCUCACAUAAUCAUUCAUCACUGGUGUAAAAUGCUUCAGGUUAGGUUAGGUUUUCUUUGUAACAAAAUUAUAUAUAUUAGAUACAAUUAGGAAACAUAAGGAUAUCGCAUGAUGGGAGGGAGCCACUGGGUCCACAGCAAAUGCCAUUUUUGGUUAUAAAAUAAAUGUUAAUAAUUGAGAUUUGGCUGAAACCUGUUAGCAACAGGCACAAUAUUGGUGACAAAAGGAGGACUACUUUCUAACCAAACUACUGCCUAACACUUCCAACUGCACUAAUCCAACUGACACUCCUACCACUAUCAGCUCUAUUCUGGUCACUCCUGAUGUCACCACUAACAUCUCUGUCCCAGCACUUGAUAGCUGGGUGUAGAACCCUAACACCACAAUGCAGAUAAAAGGUAACAACUGUGAC